rnacentral:rRNA from 1 species
GGAGCCAUCCUUGAAAUACCACCCUGUCGUGCUUGACGUUCUAACCUGGGCCCAUUAUCUGGGUCGGGGACCGUGUAUGGUGGGUAGUUUGACUGGGGCGGUCUCCUCCUAAAGAGUAACGGAGGAGCUCGAAGGUACGCUCAGCGCGGUCGGACAUCGCGCACUGUGUGCAAAGGCAUAAGCGUGCUUGACUGCAAGAUCGACGGAUCAAGCAGGUAGGAAACUAGGACUUAGUGAUCCGGUGGUUCUGUAUGGAAGGGCCAUCGCUCAACGGAUAAAAGGUACUCCGGGGAUAACAGGCUGAUACCGCCCAAGAGUUCAUAUCGACGGCGGUGUUUGGCACCUCGAUGUCGGCUCAUCACAUCCUGGGGCUGUAGUCGGUCCCAAGGGUAUGGCUGUUCGCCAUUUAAAGUGGUACGCGAGCUGGGUUCAGAACGUCGUGAGACAGUUCGGUCCCUAUCUGCCAUGGGCGUUGGAGAUUUGAGAGGGGCUGCUCCUAGUACGAGAGGACCGGAGUGGACGAACCUCUGGUGUUCCGGUUGUCACGCCAGUGGCAUUGCCGGGUAGCUAUGUUCGGAAGCGAUAACCGCUGAAAGCAUCUAAGCGGGAAGCGCGCCUCAAGAUGAGAUCUCCCGGGGCACAAGCCCCCUGAAGGAACCAUGUAGACUACGUGGUUGAUAGGUCAGGUGUGUAAGUACAGCAAUGUAUUGAGCUAACUGAUACUAAUGAUCCGUGCGGCUUGACCAU